rnacentral:rRNA from 1 species
GCCUACGGGAGGCAGCAGUAGGGAAUCUUCCACAAUGGACGAAAGUCUGAUGGAGCAACGCCGCGUGAGUGAAGAAGGGUUUCGGCUCGUAAAGCUCUGUUGGUAGGGGAGAAAGAUAGAGGUAGCAACUCGCCUUUAUUUGACGGUAAUUACUUAGAAAGUCACGGGUAACUCCGUGCCAGCAGCCGCGGUAAUACGUAGGUGGCAAGCGUUGUCCGGGUUUAUUGGGCGUAAAGCGAGUGCAGGCGG